rnacentral:rRNA from 1 species
GACAGAGGCCUCAAGCGUUAGGCGGAAUCACUGGGCUUAAAGCGUGUGUAGGCGGAUCGUUAAGUGCCUUGUGAAAUCCCACGGCUUAACUGUGGAACGGCUGGGCAUACUGGCGGUCUUGAGCCAUCUAGGGGCGACUGGAACAAACGGUGGAGCGGUGAAAUGCGUAGAUAUCGUUUGGAACGCCAAUGGUGAAAACAGGUCGCUGGGGAUGUGCCGACGCUGAGACACGAAAGCCAGGGGAGCAAACGGG